UAACGCAGCCCACCAGACCCCUUCGUGAGGCUAACAGUGGGGAAUCUUAGCCAAUCGCCGCAAGCAUGUUCCAGUCAUGUUACGGGAGUGCUAAAAAACCUUGGGGUGGUGAAGCUCUUUGCCUAAUGUUGUUUAAGCCGUCAUCGGUUUAUGAAGGCCGGGGAAAGUUAUUUGCCAGCAGCCGGGGUAAUACGGAGUGGGUGGGCGUUGAUAGUAAUUACUGGGAGUAAAGGGUUCGUAGGCGGAUCUUCAAGUAAGAGGUGAAAUCUCGGGGCUCAACCCGGGAACUGCAUUUCAAACUGGUGUCUGAAUUCGAGAGAGGCGGUGGAAUUCCAGGAAAGGAAUCUCUAAGUGAAUCCAUCCCGCCCGCCACUGUCCC
rnacentral:rRNA from 1 species